rnacentral:rRNA from 1 species
GAUGAACGCUAGCGGCAGGCCUAAUACAUGCAAGUCGAGGGGCAGCGCGGUAGCAAUACUGGCGGCGACCGGCGCACGGGUGCGUAACACGUAUGCAACCUACCUUCAACUGGAGGAUAGCCCGGGGAAACUCGGAUUAAUACUCCAUAACACAGGGAUCCCGCAUGGGAAUAUUGUUAAAGCUACGGCGGUUGAAGAUGGGCAUGCGUUCGAUUAGCUAGUUGGUGUAGGUAACGGCUCACCAAGGCUACGAUCGAUAGGGGGUCUGAGAGGAUGAUCCCCCACACUGGUACUGAGAUACGGACCAGACUCCUACGGGAGGCAGCAGUAGGGAAUAUUGGUCAAUGGGGGGCAACCCUGAUCCAGCCAUGCCGCGUGAGUGAAGAAGGCCUUGGGUUGUAAAGCUCUUUCGACGGGGACGAUGAUGACGGUAGUCGGAGAAGAAGCCCCGGCUAACUUCGUGCCAGCAGCCGCGGUAA